CCUACGGGAGGCAGCAGUGGGGGAUAUUGCACAAUGGGGGGAACCCUGAUGCAGCGACGCCGCGUGGGUGAAGGAGUGCUUCGGCAUGUAAAGCCCUAUCGGCAGGGAAGAAGCAAGACGGUACCUGACUAAGAAGCCCCGGCUAACUACGUGCCAGCAGCCGCGGUAAUACGUAGGGGGCAAGCGUUAUCCGGAUUUACUGGGUGUAAAGGGAGCGUAGACGGCGACGCAAGUCUGAAGUGAAAUGCCAGUGCUCAACACUGGAACUGCUUUGGAAACUGUGUAGCUAGAGUGCAGGAGAGGUAAGUGGAAUUCCUAGUGUAGCGGUGAAAUGCGUAGAUAUUAGGAGGAACACGAGUGGCGAAGGCGGCUUACUGGACUGUAACUGACGUUGAGGCUCGAAGGCGUGGGGAGCAAACAGGAUUAGAUACCCGUGUAGUC
rnacentral:rRNA from 1 species